GAGGGUAUAGCUUAGUGGUAGAGUGCAUGCCUAGCAUGUAAGAUGUCCUGGGUUCAAUCUCCAGUACCUCCA
rnacentral:tRNA from 1 species